GCCAGGUGCAGUGGCAUGUGCCUGUAGUCCCAGCUACUCGGGAGGCGGAGGCUGAGGCUGGAGGAUCGCUUGAGUCCAGGAGUUCUGGGCUGUGGUGCACUAUGCCAGUCGGGUGUCCACACUAAGUUCGGCAUCAAUAUGGUGACCUGCUGGGAGCGGGGGACCACUAGGUUGCCUAAGGAGGGGUGAACCGGAGCAGGUCAAAACUCCCGUGCUGAUCAGCAGUGGGAUCGCACCUGUGAAUAGCCACUGCACUCCAGCCUGGGCAACAUAGCGAGAACUCGUCUCUU
ensembl:misc_RNA Metazoa_SRP Metazoan signal recognition particle RNA